UGCGACAGCGACGGCGGCUUCGCCCAUUCCGUCGUGCGCCGGCGACGGCCGCCGCCAUGCCUCGCGCGGGAGGACGGAGGGCGCUCGUUGGGAGGAUGGAGGACGGCGCGGCGAAGCGGGGCAGUGGUGGUGGCGUGUGCGGCGGAGACGGCGCGGCAAACGAGGGGGUACCGUCACGCGUGGUUGAACCGUUGCCCCAACUCCGGGAGCCGCAUCCCGGUUUAUCUCCAGCGGGUUACUGGGCCCUGCACCGGCGUGCAGAAGAGAUUUCUAGGCUCAUAAACCGUAGGUAGACUAGACUGGUGCCUUCUCUUCAUGAUCUCGUAAGGCCGGGCAGUGGCGGUGAUUGACCGGCCGUCGUGCCUCGCGCGGGAGGAUGGACGACGCUCACCGGGGCGUCUGCGGCGGAGAUGGCUUCUGCCGCGUGUCGAGGUGGAGCAGCAGAGGACGGGAAGGCAAGAAGGCAGGAUGGGUACGCUGUGCACCAGGGCCGCCUUCGUCCUCCACCUCCUCCAAAAGCGCGCGCUCGCCGCGGGUACUGGCGGUGGCACGGCGGUCCUCGCCCUUGGGUGCGCGGACGCGUCGGGGAUCGAGGAAGCUCUCCUCCCUCGCGGCUGGAGGCGCUCGGGAUCGAGCGAGUGGGCGAGGGGAUCGGGGCCCCUGGUGGCUGCCUGCUUGGCGAUUGCACGAGAUGCUGGGCUGGCCGACUCGAUCUCCUCGACCCAGGGCCCGUGCUCGUCAGCGCCUGCCCCAUCGCGCAUGACUUCUCUGAUCCAGCGCGCAGUGAGGGCGCGGCCGCUGCCAGUCUCGCCGCCGCCCUGUCACGGAUCGCCACGCCCAUCUCCUCUGAUCUGAACACCUCUCCUACAUCCCCUGUUGCGAUCAUCCCUUGCUUAACGAGAAAAAAAAUCCAAUGCCUACACACAUGUAUUCUCCCUCUCAAACUAUACAGUUCCUACAAGCCAUGGCGACAUUCACCUGCAACUAUUUGGACAAGGACUGGGAGGAGUGGACCAUGGCUGCACCGAGGUCCACCCACUAGCGGCCGGCCACCAUGGCUGCAACGAGGAUUCCCUCACCAAGCCUCGCCGGCGUUCUGGAUCACCAAGGUACUUCUACUUAUUUGUCUCUACAAGAUUGUUGCAUAUGUUUUUUCUGCUUUUCCACUUAAUGGUGUUAACCUUCUUUUAGGUACUUCCUGCUCCAGGAUUUUCUUGUUGAGAAAACACAAAAAUAUAAAUAUGAAUAUAUGCCCAUGAAGCUGCUCUGGUUUGUCUUUUAGAGUUUAGUCCCAUUUACUCGUGUCGUUCUACAAUAAUAACAUAAUUGAUAUCAAUUAGACUUCUUUGAGUUUACUGAAAUUUAAUGGUUUGCCAUGGAAUAUGAAAUUUGACAAUGACACCUGCUGAACUAAAAAUAAUCUAGCGAGCAAUAGUAUAUAAUGAAUAGUUAUUACCGUAUCGGCAUCACAUUGCUCUAUGGAUGAAUAACAUGACAAUAAACUGGCAAAAUGGAAAGGCUUUGUUUAGUGUGGGUACCAAGCAGGAAAGUAGUUAACGGAGAUAGACUAUUUGACAGUUGCACAACUGGAGUGAGAUACUAUUUGUUUUCUUGUAUAGUGAAGAUGGCCUAUUUUGUGGUGUAAUAUAACUAUGGUAGCUCUCUGGAGUGAGAAUGCCGAAGCCCUAAAAAAAGCCAUCAGCACGGAGUUCCUGCCAUUAAGGAAAAAAACUAGCAGAGAAACAGCUCGGGAAAUCGUAAGUUUAUCUUGCUUUUUGAAUGUGCAGCCUGUAACCAGAGAAGCUUGUUCUAAUUAUAGUAUGCUUAUUUUCCCUGAGCUGUUUCUCUGCUAGCUAUUGUUCUCAAGCAACUAACAAACUAUGUAUAGAAGAAGUCUUAGUAGGGAGCUAUUUUGAAACAAGAUGAGGAAACCCUCAAGGAUUUAAACAGUAAAAUACGAACCUGCACAUGAUCAUAUAAUGUACGGAUCACAGGCUGGCCAAAGCCUUCUUUCAAGUCUCCUAACAUUGUCUGCUUAAUUUUCACUACCUGCAAGUACAACUAGCUAGAAAUUUGGGUAUGCUGCUAUGUGCCUUGAGUUUGUAAGACAAGUUCUCUUUGCUUCGAGGAGAGUUUGACCACUCAUAUCUCUCUUUUUCUUGCAACCUGCACUUAGUAGGUUGCUUUUUCUAUGAUAUAUAUUGUUUCAUUCUGGUUGCUGAAUAUGAUAGUCGUAGCCCGUCAGAAAAAUAUGUCAGCCGAUUGAUUCUUCGUAAAAGGUAUAGUGACUGUUGAAAAGUUUACCUGAUCUUCCAUUUAUAUUUUUCAAAAGACAGUCCUAGAGAUGUUGCUUUAUUUUUCUGCUUAUUGCAUUUAUUGGAGCACCUGCAAUGGGAAAAUUGAAUGUUUGAAUGUUCCUCUUGCUGUUGACCACACUACAGUUGAUUAUAUCUCAUUGAGACCUGAAUCAUCUUCCAUGGUUAUUCAACAUUGAAGCUGCUUGCAUUGAUCCACAAUACAUCUUGACUUCAGCGAAAAAUGAGGUUCUGUACACACUAUUUUCAGAAGCUUGUGUGGCAGCAACAAUAUUUGUGCCACGACAUGUAAUCGAAACAGAGGGAAAAACUUUGUAGAGAUCGAAGUUUCACUGUUACAAACACAAUAAAGGUUUCAUGGUGGCAGUGCCUUCUUCUACAUGAUGGGAAUUCGACGGCAUUUUGUUGUUUUGUUGUUAAAUACCAACUGGGCAUGUCGUUUAUUCACAGAUCAACUAAUAUGACCAUCUCUUGCAGACAAAACGCUCGGGGAAAGUCCCAGCCGUGCACCUGUGAUCGCUGGAACGACAUACUGUUUUAGGAAUGCAAUACAGACUGGUCAGGAGGUUUGUGUCUAUAGGAUUGAAUUACAUGAUAUGUCAAAAUGGUGGUCUUUAUUAUGCAAUUUAACUGAUCUCUUGUUGAACCCCUCCUUUUCCAGAAAAAAACUAUUAUUUAAUCUUUGAAGUUUAAUCUUCUGUCUGCAUAGUUUUACUGAUAAUUGAAUGCAUCAGUUCAAAGCAUUUUGUGGUGAAAAUCUAGGUCAACAGCCAUAUAUAUACUAAGUGAACUUACUACUGACUGCAUUUCCUGUUAGCAGAGUUUACUGUUUGAUAUUUGGGACCCUCAAUUUCGCUCAGAAUCUCAUUAUCCAGAUGCUGUCCUGUCAUAUUUUUUCUUGAUAAUCAAAGUGAAUUUCUUUGAAAUUAUUCCAACUCUGCAACUGGUGGAGGGUUGCGCUUAACAUAAGGUCCCAAAAGGGAAAGAAUCUUAUAUUCUUUGUUAACAAUCGAGUAAAACAAAGCAUCAUUGUGUCGUCUUACUUUGAAUAGUUUAGGCGGCAGCUUCUUUUGUGUGGCGUAACUAUACAUGGAUUUCCUGUUUCAAUAGGGCUCUAUUAAGUUGCAACCAAGCAAGUGCAUGGUCAUGCCAGGUACUUUUGUUCUUAAUAUUGUGUAGGUUUCUAUAUGUUGAAUUUAUAGAAGCAUUAUUAAGCUCAUGCUUUCGGGGAAAUGAUUGACAAUGGCACUUUUGAGCUAUGAUGCUCAUAUGUGACCAAAUGGUAUCAUUUCAACCCAACAAAGAAUGUUGAUACUGGAGUUCAUACUCCAUCUGAUUUUACUUCCUAUCAUUUUUAGCCUGUUAUGUAGAAGAUUUAUACAUGGCAGCUACAUGAAUGGGAAUCAGCAGUAAACAGAAUGCAGGGUUCAUCAAAUGGGUAACAAGAAAAAGGCUACCCCAAAACCUGCAUUGUUUGCCUUCUAUUUGGAACCUCAUGGACUCAAGCUUCAGAUACCAUCUAACUGACCGAAGCAGAGAUCACAUAAGUUUCGAUUAUAUAGCUUUCUGAAGAGAGCUGGAUGGCUUUUACUAAGAUGGUACAAAAUGUAUGUUUUGUAGUCAAAUCAUUAGCUCAUGCUUUUUUUCCUGGCAAAGUUUCUUGUUUCUGUUAAAACCUUCAGGCCGG